rnacentral:snoRNA from 1 species
AAGUCGUUUCAAAGAGGGCUUGUGCUAUGACCAAAAUCAAAGUCUUCUACAGGAUGCCAUAGCACUCAACAGAGUCAUAUAUUCUUGAGAAGAUAUAAUA